rnacentral:rRNA from 1 species
GAGGCAGCAGUAGGGAAUCUUCCGCAAUGGGCGAAAGCCUGACGGAGCAACGCCGCGUGAGUGAUGAAGGUCUUCGGAUCGUAAAACUCUGUUAUUAGGGAAGAACAUAUGUGUAAGUAACUGUGCACAUCUUGACGGUACCUAAUCAGAAAGCCACGGCUAACUACGUGCCAGCAGCCGCGGUAAUACGUAGGUGGCAAGCGUUAUCCGGAAUUAUUGGGCGUAAAGCGCGCGUAGGCGGUUUUUUAAGUCUGAUGUGAAAGCCCACGGCUCAACCGUGGAGGGUCAUUGGAAACUGGAAAACUUGAGUGCAGAAGAGGAAAGUGGAAUUCCAUGUGUAGCGGUGAAAUGCGCAGAGAUAUGGAGGAACACCAGUGGCGAAGGCGACUUUCUGGUCUGUAACUGACGCUGAUGUGCGAAAGCGUGGGGAUCAAACAGGAUUAGAUACCCUGGUAGUCCACGCCGUAAACGAUGAGUGCUAAGUGUUAGGGGGUUUCCGCCCCUUAGUGCUGCAGCUAACGCAUUAAGCACUCCGCCUGGGGAGUACGACCGCAAGGUUGAAACUCAAAGGAAUUGACGGC